CACCGCGGGUUGGUGGGGGGAGAAGGCAGGAGGAGAGCCUGGAAACUCUAACCCCCCCCUCCCCAGCCUAACUGGCCGUCUUGGGCCGAGAGAAGGUCACCUCUGCACCUCCCCCCAGCCUGUCCGGUUGUGGGGCCCCUAGCCCAGGCCUGGCCCUGACCGCCUGGGAAGCCGGCUGGCUGGGUGGGGCGCCUGGGUUAGUCAUCACUGGGCUCCCUCUCUCCCCACCUCUCGGCCAACUCUUGGCCCCUCCCCGUGGCCUCUGGCUAGGCUAUUGCCCCCACCUCCCUUCGGCUGUAGUUCCAGCCUCCAACUCAUUUGGCCUGUCAUCCUGGCUGUCAGACUGGGCUAGGAGCUGUCAGGGUGCCAAAGGGCUGAUGGAGCAGCUGGUCAGAGGGUCAGUGCCCUGGGCCCACCCCGCCCUGCAGCCAAGGGCACCUGCUUGGCACAGACUCUCAGCAGCAGCUGAGUCCUAUGGGCUGAACAGAGCCUGCUCAGACAGAGAGGAGUGGGAAGGAGUUGGACUGGUCACCUGGGAGAAGGAAGAUACCACAAAGUUCAUGCCUCCCAAGAGGGUUUUGUAAUUUGAAAACCUCCCACCCUAAUCUUUCUUACCCUCGGAGUAUAGAAAUCUCAAGGCAGGACCGCCUUGGCUCCUUAAACUGGCAUGGGCCAUGCCCUCGGACUAAGUGUCAGCACAGACCCACCCUCCCAAGCUCACAGCCCUCAAGUCUGCCACACCCCCAGCCCCCUCCCUGGGCCAUGCUGCAGGGCCCGGCUUUUCCUGCUGAUUCAUGCGUUGGAACUGUGGGGGCGGGGCUUGGAACUUGGAACAAAGUUCAGACAUGGAGGGGACGGCAGACAGCCUGGAAUUCAUACCAGAUGUACCCGGAAUGUGCAAGCGGAAUGCCUGGCAUUUAAGAGUCCUGGGGAAGCUGCCCAACCACCCUGCCCUACCUCCCUCCCCUCCAGCCUCUGGUCCCCUGUCUUCUCCUCACAGUCCCAGGAGCCUCUGCUGACCUUCUUCCAAACUCUAGACCUCCUCCCUUCCUCACUCUUCCCCAGAUGUAAGCCCCCCAAAACUCUUCUUCCAGCUGAACUCCCUGGGACCAAGUCAGUUGGGCUGAUCCCUGAACUCGCAUUUCUGGAUCUGAGGUACAGCUUCUCACCUAAUACCUGGCUGACUGGUGAGGUGUGUCCAGGCUCCCAAGUCCUGCCCUCUCAGUGCUGAGGAGGCUGGGGGCCGCUGUGGGUAGCUGGGGCAAGAGGGGGUGGUGGUGAGAGCAGAUAUGGGUUUCUACAGCCUUCAGUUCUGGAAAGAGGAGCAAGGAAAUAGGUUUAGAGCUGCCUCUUGUCUCUCACUGAGGAGCUCAGGUCAGAGCCAAGAACCCUUCAUUAGAAGGUUGACCAUCUUCUGGGGCUGCACUUUGAUGGCCAGGGCAACAGUGUCCCUGUGACAUGGCCCUGCUCAGAUCUUCCCCAUUUUUCCUUCCUUUCCCUUUAGGCACCUGUACCUCCCACAUCCUCACCUGGCUGAGCCGCAGUAGUUCUUCAGUGGCAAGCUUUAUGUCCUGACCCAGCUAAAGCUGCCAGUUGAAGAACUGUUGCCCUCUGCCCCUGGCUUCGAGGAGGAGGAGGAAGAAGAGAAGAAGCUGCCUUCCCCUCAUCUGGAAGGUGACAGAACUGGGUCUGGGAAGGUCUGAACAGCGAGCGUGAUGAUACCUUUGGGAAAGGGAACCCUAUUCAGCUGGAGAACCUUCACCCAGAUUGAGCCAGCAGGAGAGAAAAUUUCAGAUUAGAGACCUUGGCUGAAUUGGGGAAUAGAUGGCUCUGACUACACCCAAGUGUCUCCCUCCAGCCUUGGGUAUGUGGCUCUGCCAUCCUCACCCAUCAUGGAGCAGAAAUGAGGAAGAGCAGCCUGGGAACACAGAGGCAGGCAGAAGACUAGUGAAGGACCAGGCCUGGAGAGCACAGGGCCCUGUCUGGACAUCUGCUGAGGGGGGCCCAUAGAGGCCAGGAGAGCCCCAGGAGGAGGGAGAACGGCCAGCCUCCAUCGAGGACAAGCUUCCAGCCAUCUACUUCAUUCUCCGUUGCUCUCCAGUCGUUCUGCCUCCCUCAGAGAUGUGGGACCAUGUUAAAGCGUCCUUGGCUUCAUCCUGCUGCUUCCACCUCUCCCCACCAUGUAAUUUAGCUGUGAAAGGACAUAUGCAGAAAAUUCUUAAAAGAAAUUCAAAUGGAUUUGAAUGUGUGGGAAAAAAUGUGUGCUUCAUUAGUAAUUAAAGAGAGGCAAAUAUAGCUGAAAGCAUUUUUCCCGUAGCAAACUAUAACAGAAAAAAAAAUAAGACCCAGUUAUUGGCAAAGGAGUACUAAAAUAACACUCUCUACAUUGCAUAUGGGCGUACAAAUUGGUACAGCCUUACUGAUGUCAGUUUGGUAAUAUGUAUCAAACAUCCUAAAAGUUUCCAUGGCCUUUGACCUAGUAGUUCUACAUUUGGGAGUUUAUCCUAAGGAAAUAAUUAAAGAUUAGUUUAAACGAUGUUCAUCCCAGCACUGCAGUAGAGAAAAAUGAGAAGCAACUAUCUGGUUGGGAAUUGAUUCCUUUUCUGCUAUAAUUGAAAUUUGCAAGAGGGGGUUGCUUAAGUAAAUUAUUGUAUAUCCAUCCGGAUGGUGGGGUGGAGUGCUGCGCAGCCAUUAAAAGUCACAUAGAAGAACAUUUGACUGCAAAGAAAAAUGCUCCUUGAACAUUCAAAAGGUUAUAAAAAUGGUGUAUAUUAUGUGAUCUCAAUUUUGUUUUUAUACGUAAAACAGUCUGAAAAAGACUGACGACAUACUCCAAAUUGUUAAUAAUAGUAGUUACCUUUGAAUGAUGGAAUAAAAUAGUUGUAAUUUUUCUGUUU